rnacentral:rRNA from 1 species
GAUGAACGCUGGCGGCGUGCUUAACACAUGCAAGUCGAACGGAAAGGCCCAAGCUUGCUUGGGUACUCGAGUGGCGAACGGGUGAGUAACACGUGGGUGAUCUGCCCUGCACUUCGGGAUAAGCCUGGGAAACUGGGUCUAAUACCGGAUAGGACGAUGGUUUGGAUGCCAUUGUGGAAAGUUUUUUGGGUGUGGGAUGAGCUCGCGGCCUAUCAGCGUGUUGGUGGGGUAAUGGCCUACCAAGGCGUCGACGGGUAGCCGGCCUGAGAGGGGGUACGGCCACAUUGGGACUGAGAGACGGCCCAGACUCCUACGGGAGGCAGAAGUGGGGAAUAUUGCACAAUGGGGGCAAGCCUGAUGCAGCGACGCCGCGUGGGGGAUGACGGCCUUUGGGGUGUAAACUCCUUUCGCUAGGGACGAAGCGUUUUUGUGACGGUACCUGGAGAAGAAGCACCGGCUAACUACGUG